GCCGAGCCAAGUAACGUGGGCUUGUUACCUGAGUGGGGGCACUGAAUUGGUGGGAUGUUGGGCUGACUCAGAAGGUAGGACAUUGUGGGCUAUUAUCUGGCCUGCCCUGUCCAAGCGUAGAGUUGGGCUACGUGGCCCAAGUGAAGACAUGGGUUGCUUAGCUCCUAAAGAGGGGCGGAAUGCGUGAGGCUGGUUUUACAGAGCAACGAACAGCUUCCGCUCUGUGCAGUGGAAGGAUAACGGGCCAGUGUUCACAGCGUCCAACAAAAGCCUGAUGGGCUGCUCCAAUUAAACCACCAUUUUU
rfam:Nicotiana attenuata strain TT chromosome 2, whole genome shotgun sequence.